rnacentral:rRNA from 1 species
UAUGGCCUACGGGGGGCAGCAGUGGGGGAUAUUGCACAAUGGGGGAAACCCUGAUGCAGCGACGCCGCGUGAGUGAAGAAGUAUUUCGGUAUGUAAAGCUCUAUCAGCAGGGAAGAAAAAAGACGGUACCUGACUAAGAAGCCCCGGCUAACUACGUGCCAGCAGCCGCGGUAAUACGUAGGUGGCAAGCGUUAUCCGGAUUUAUUGGGUGUAAAGGGCGUGUAGGCGGGAGCG